GACACACCACACACACAUACUGUAGACACACCACACACACAUACUGUAGACACACCACACACACAUACUGUAGACACACCACACACACACACUGUAGACACACACACACACACACACACACACACACACACACACACACACACACACACACACUGUAGACACACACACACACCGUAGACACACCACACACAUACUGUAGACACACCACACACACACACACACACAUACUGUAGACACACCACACACACACAUACUGUAGACACACCACACACACCGUAGACACACCACACACACACACACCGUAGACACACCACACACACACUGUAGACACACCACACACACACACACCGUAGACACACCACACACACACACACCUGUUGACACACCACACACACCAUACACACACAAACCACAGCACUCUACCCUGGUGCUACUAACGCCAAGGUCAUGGGUUCAACUCCUGAAAGGACCACAUACUGUACUAGAAAUGUUACAUUGGAUGUACAAAACAUUAUGAACACCUUCCUUAUAUUGAGUUGCACUCCCUUUUGCCCUCAAUUCAUCAGGGCAUGGACUCUACAAGGUGUCGAAAGCGUUCCACAGGGAUGCUGGCCCAUGUUGACUCCCAAUGCUUCCCACAGUAUUGUCAAGUUGGCUGGAUGUCCUUUGGGUGGUGGACCAUUCUUGAUACACACGGAGAAACUGAUGAACGUGAAAAACCCAGCAGCGUUUCCGUUCUUGACACAAACUGGUGCGCCUGGCAUCUACUACCCAUUCAAAGGCACUUAAAUAUUUUUUCUGGCCCAUACAAUCCAUGUCUCAAGGCUUAAAAACCCUUCUUUAACCCGUCUCCUCCCCUUCAUCUGCAUGUCUCCUGCCCUUCAUCUGCAUGUCUCCUCCCCUUCAUCUGCAUGUCUCCUCCCCUUCAUCUGCAUGUCUCGUCCCCUUCAUCUGCAUGUCUCCUCCCCUUCAUCUACAUGUCUCCUCCCCUUCAUCUGCAUGUCUCCUCCCCUUCAUCUGCAUGUCUCCUCCCCUUCAUCCGCAUGACUCCUCCCCUUCAUCUGCAUGCCCCCUCCCAUUCAUCUACAUGUCUCCUCCCAUUCAUCUGCAUGUCACCUCCCCUUCAUCUACAUGUCUCCUCCCCUUCAUCUGCAUGUCUCCUCCCCUUCAUCUGCAUGUCUCCUCCCCUUCAUCUGCAUGCCUCCUCCCCUUCAUCUGCAUGUCUCCUCCCCUUAAUCUACACUGAUUGAAGUGGAUUUAACAAGAGACAUCAAUAAGGAAUCAUAACUUUUCACCUGGAUUCACCUGGUCAGGCAGGUGUUCAUAAUGUUGUGUCCACUCAGCGUGUGCCCCCUGGAUCAAAUCAAUGUCAUUUCCAGAGGGGUCUGAAAUGAUUAACACAAUCAUGACUGUAUAAAAUAAUUCAUUAAUACAAUUGCUCAGAGAAAGAUAUUUUAACAAGUAAUUUUAUAAUAAGAAAAUAAUAAUUUAACGAGUGAAAAGUUACAGGGUCAAAGAGCCAAGACAUACCAACCUCUCCUGUUGUUGUUUAUGGUGAGAGGUUGGCAUGUACUGUGGGUAUAAUCAUACCAACCUCUCCUGUUGUUGUUUAUGGUGAGAGGUUAGCAUGUACUGUGGGUAUAAUCAUACCAACCUCUCCUGUUGUUGUUUAUGGUGAGAGGUUAGCAUGUACUGUGGGUAUAAUCAUACCAACCUCUCCUGUUGUUGUUUAUGGUGAGAGGUUAGCAUGUACUGUGGGUAUAAUCAUACCAACCUCUCCUGUUGUUGUUUAUGGU